rnacentral:rRNA from 1 species
CUUAACACAUGCAAGUCGAACGGUGAAGCCCAGCUUGCUGGGUGGAUCAGUGGCGAACGGGUGAGUAACACGUGAGCAACCUGCCCUCCACUUCGGGAUAAGCCUUGGAAACGGGGUCUAAUACCGGAUAUGAGCACUCAUCGCAUGGUGGGUGUUGGAAAGUUUUUCGGUGGGGGAUGGGCUCGCGGCCUAUCAGCUUGUUGGUGGGGUGAUGGCCUACCAAGGCGUCGACGGGUAGCCGGCCUGAGAGGGCGACCGGCCACACUGGGACUGAGACACGGCCCAGACUCCUACGGGAGGCAGCAGUGGGGAAUAUUGCACAAUGGGCGCAAGCCUGAUGCAGCGACGCCGCGUGAGGGAUGACGGCCUUCGGGUUGUAAACCUCUUUCAGCAGGGAAGAAGCGCAAGUGACGGUACCUGCAGAAGAAGCGCCGGCUAACUACGUGCCAGCAGCCGCGGUAAUACGUAGGGCGCAAGCGUUGUCCGGAAUUAUUGGGCGUAAAGAGCUCGUAGGCGGUCUGUCGCGUCUGGUGUGAAAUCCCGAGGCUCAACCUCGGGCUUGCAUCGGGUACGGGCAGACUAGAGUGCGGUAGGGGAGACUGGAAUUCCUGGUGUAGCGGUGGAAUGCGCAGAUAUCAGGAGGAACACCGAUGGCGAAGGCAGGUCUCUGGGCCGCAACUGACGCUGAGGAGCGAAAGCAUGGGGAGCGAACAGGAUUAGAUACCCUGGUAGUCCAUGCCGUAAACGUUGGGCACUAGGUGUGGGGCUCAUUCCACGAGUUCCGUGCCGCAGCUAACGCAUUAAGUGCCCCGCCUGGGGAGUACGGCCGCAAGGCUAAAACUCAAAGGAAUUGACGGGGGCCCGCACAAGCGGCGGAGCAUGCGGAUUAAUUCGAUGCAACGCGAAGAACCUUACCAAGGCUUGACAUGCACCGGAAACACUC